rnacentral:rRNA from 1 species
UACGUAGGUGACAAGCGUUAUCCGGAUUUACUGGGCGUAAAGGGAGCGUAGGCGGAUAAUUAAGUGGGAUGUGAAAUACCCGGGCUCAACCUGGGUGCUGCAUUCCAAACUGGUUAUCUAGAGUGCAGGAGAGGAGAGUGGAAUUCCUAGUGUAGCGGUGAAAUGCGUAGAGAUUAGGAAGAACACCAGUGGCGAAGGCGACUCUCUGGACUGUAACUGACGCUGAGGCUCGAAAGCGUGGGGAGCAAACAGG